CCCCUAUAAAGUAAACUCAGUGGCGUGCACAAGGUUUGGAGCCAGGGUAAGCAUUAGUUAGGUAGAAAUCUGUUCACUGGCAGGUCAUAAUGAAAAACGUGCAUUGAGCUAUUACAACUGAGGUAAGCAGUGCAUUUA